rnacentral:rRNA from 1 species
UGGAGCAUGUGGUUUAAUUCGAAGCAACGCGAAGAACCUUACCAGGCCUUGACAUGCAGAGAACUUUCCAGAGAUGGAUUGGUGCCUUCGGGAACUCUGACACAGGUGCUGCAUGGCUGUCGUCAGCUCGUGUCGUGAGAUGUUGGGUUAAGUCCCGUAACGAGCGCAACCCUUGUCCUUAGUUACCAGCACGUUAUGGUGGGCACUCUAAGGAGACUGCCGGUGACAAACCGGAGGAAGGUGGGGAGUGACGUCAAGUCAUCAUGGCCCUUACGGCCUGGGCUACACACGUGCUACAAUGGUCGGUACAAAGGGUUGCCAAGCCGCGAGGUGGAGCUAAUCCCAUAAAAACCGAUCGUAGUCCGGAUCGCAGUCUGCAACUCGACUGCGUGAAGUCGGAAUCGCUAGUAAUCGUGAAUCAGAAUGUCACGGUGAAUACGUUCCCGGGCCUU